CUUAGAUUGUACACACUAUUAUUUAGUCUACUCCUGAAGGCUGUACAAAGGAGUUUAUUCUUAUGCUUUAAGAGUUUCCCGGUUCCUGAGAGGUGCAGUCUUUCUCGGAACAGAUAAACAUUUCUUAGAAGACCACGUGUUGCUGAUCUGGGAUGCUGCCUGCACCUGAACUUCUUCCAUUUUUUUUUACUGGGCCUGUGAUGGCGAACUGAAGUUUACUUUUCAGGCUCUGCAGGUGAGCACUGCUUCGUUGCUGCAUUAGUAGACCUUUUGUAGAAGUUUUGUUCUCCUUUUAGCAUUCGUUAUUUCUUUACACAUACUAUUCACCAUUUGCAAAGAAAUAUGAAUUUAACAUUGAUAGGUUCUGGGAUUCAAAAAAAUGCAAACAGUUAAUAGCAAUUUUAGCAUUUUUAUGAGGAAGGCAGUGAUAUUAAAAGAAUAGUAAAAUAUUUGUCAUUUUGUCCAGCAUUUAGAUCAGUUUGAUUCUGUUAGAAGAGCAGAUUAAAAAAACACUGGAACAUUGUUGAAUAUCAUACAGUAGGACUUUAUUGGGUCCAUAAUUUAUUCAAGGACAAAUAACAAGAAAUACAUAUUUUAUGAUUGCUUGUUGGUGCCCCACUUGGUCAUCAUUCUUUAUUCAG